CCGACCUUCCUUCACGGGUAGUUCUGGGGAUUUACCUUCAUGAGACAUUUCGUGGACUCCUCGUGUGAAUGGCAUCUAAUUUAUUGUCUGUCUAGUAUAGCCUGCUGGAUUGUACAGUAAAUGCGCGUUUUGCAGAUUAGAGAUAGUUUUUCUUUGUUUCAAUGGCGACGUGUGCGUUACAUGUAUGAUUCCCAAUGACAAUUGGAAAUGUGUUGUUUUUGAGCUGUGAAAAUGAUUCGCGGAAGGAAAGCUACUUGCUUUUGACCUAACGAAAAUGAAGUUACUUCUCACGGUGGGAUUGUUGGCGUUUGUCUCUACUUCAUCAAGUCUACGGAUCUUGGAAUGGCCGACACUAAACUGUACUCAAGAGGGUUUGAGAUGCGAAGCCAACAUCAAUAACUGCCUGGAUCCUGGGUGGUUGAAGCCUCGGCGCUACACUCCUAACAGCCCAGUGAACCU